UGAUCCGCCAUAUUCAUUUCCUGAAAAGUUUAUUUAUAUUUAGGUCGCGAAAUUAGAUUCAGACGAAUAGUAGCGAAGAUUGUCAGCUGGGAGUGUGGCGGCUCCUGUAAUCCGGCUACUCGGAGGCUAGUUAUGAUGGAGGGUCUGAGAGCGGGGGUUCCUGUUGGUGCGGGAUUCACGUUGACUGGGCGUCCGCGCUAAGCUCGCCAUCAAUAUGGGCAUCCUGUCGAGGAAUCCGGGAUGGCCAGGUUGGCUAGGGAGAGGCGAACCGGGCCAGAGGGGAAACCCAGCAGCCAAAAGUCUCCGUGGCGGGCAGUAGUGGGAUCGCGCCCGGGAGUGGGACCGCAGUGACAGCCUGGUCAAUAUGACUCGACUCAUAACUUUUUUUUUCAUCUUUUUCAGUUUUUUAUCUUAUCCCAGUUAACAUAGCACCAUAGACGUAUGUUUAAACUAAUCGCUUAUAAUUUUUUAUAAUAAAAAUCUUUGUCCGUAUGGGCUGUUAUAGUGUGACAAUUGUCUCCAACUGCUGUAUCAAUUUUUCAUUCUUUUUGAAUAUUUGUUAUGAGGUAAAUACUUCUUUCUGUGCGUCUCUAAUUUGUAGUGGACUUCUGUAUUAUACCUGUUAUUCUAAUAUAUUUUUCGAAGAUA